AAACCAGUAUAAAUACCUUCAAGUCUGGUACAAAAAUGGUGUGGAGAUUUCAAAGAAACUCAUAAAUUUACAUAGAGCUUGUCAAUCAAGAACAUGGCAGAAAGCAAAAGAGGUUUAAUGAUGUUCCUCCCUUUCUUUGAGAAACUACGAAAGCGUUUCUCGAGUUUGGCAUACGGCUCAUCUCCCACGGUCGACCAGUCCAGAUUCGACGACGACAUGAGUGUCGCUAAAGCAGUGCCAGCUGAUGUUAAAGAAGGGUGUUUUGCUGUCCGUACAGGGGAGGGAAAAGAAGCACAAAGGUUUGUCAUUGAAUUAGACCACUUAACAAAUCCUGAAUUUCUAAGUCUACUCGAUCAAGCUUGGGAAGAAUAUGGAUUCCAGCAGAAAUGGGGGUUCUUUCUCUCCCUUGUCGACCUCGUGAACUGCAGGAGAUUCUAGAAUACAGCAAAGGGCAAAAUGCGUGCACUGAAAGUUGGACCGCAAGUAAUGACACAAUACUAGAAAGCUACUAGGAAUACAAAUAAAAUAUUUCUUGCAAUUUUUUUUGAGUUCUUGUUCAGCUCAAUAUAUA